CAAUAGCGUAUAUUAAAGUUGUUGCAGUUAAAAAGCUCGUAGUUGGAUUUCUGGUGAGAUGGAUUAUGUCUAGGUCGAAAGAUCUUGUUCAUGGUUCGUUUUGCCCUUCUUGUCAGGAACCUGCUGAGAUUCGCGUCUUGUCGGUGGAAUGGCAUCGUUUACUGUGAAAAAAUUAGAGUGUUCAAAGCAGGCAUCGCCGUUGAAUACAUUAACAUGGAAUAAUAAGAUAAGACUUUGGUGGUCUAUUUUGUUGGUUUGCACGCCAAAGUAAUGAUUAAUAGGGAUAGUUGGGGGUAUUCGUAUUCUAUUGCUAGAGGUGAAAUUCUUAAAUUUAUGGAAGACGAACUACUGCGAAAGCAUUUACCAAGGAUGUUUUCAUUAA
rnacentral:rRNA from 1 species